rnacentral:rRNA from 1 species
UGCCUACGGGGCGCAGCAGUGGGGGAUAUUGAACAAUGGGGGGAACCCUGAUGCAGCGACGCCGCGUGGGCGAUGGAGUGCUUCGGCAUGUAAAGCCCUAUCAGCAGGGAAGAAAAUGACGGUACCUGACUAAGAAGCCCCGGCUAGAUACGUGCCAGCAGCCGCGGUAAUACGUAUGGGGCAAGCGUUAUCCGGAUUUACUGGGGGUAAAGGGAGCGAAGGGGGCCUGGCAAGCC